CAAUGGCGUAACAAAGGGAAGCGAGACGGUGACGUUAAGCAAAUCCCAGAAAUAACGUCCCAGUUCGGAUUGUAGUCUGCAACCCGACUACAUGAAGCUGGAAUCGCUAGUAAUCGCGAAUCAGAAUGUCGCGGUGAAUACGUUCCCGGGUCUUGUACACACCGCCCGUCACACCAUGGGAGUCGGAAAUGCCCGAAGUCAGUGACCCAACCGUAAGGAGGGAGCUGCCGAAGGUGGAGCCGGUAACUGGGGUGAAGUCGUAACAAGGUAAC
rnacentral:rRNA from 1 species